rnacentral:lncRNA from 1 species
AAAAGGAGUAAGAUUCAAUACAAUAUUAUUCUUUGGUGUCAUGAUGAGAGCUUAUUUACAUAAGAGAACAAUCAAUAGUUUCAGAAGCUUAAGCACGGCUACCUUAUAUGGACCAUGGAUUGUAUCUUAUAUGGGUGUGUAUAAGUACCGAGUGGAGAAAUAUACAAUUGUUUUUGUUGCUAUUUUUAAUCUAUCACAAAGAAUCCCUACCCACUCGCAUCACAGGUUCUUCAAACCAAAUGAAGGAUCUAUAUAUAUAAAGUUGUUUAAUAUAUAAUUCAAAGAUUUAAUGUAAUUAUAAGUAUUUAUUUCUGUAGCUUUUAUCUCUUCCAUAUGUUUUCCGUCUUUGACAAAAGCGGUCUACAUGGACAGUCAAACAAGAUAAUGAAAAGGUCAUAAACCUCAAAGCAGGUCACAGAAUGUAUUACACCAUCCGGAUAUACACAAUUAAGAUUCACGGUUAUGCUAGACUCUGGUGCAUAGAUACUCGUUACAAUGCCUAUACACCGUACUCCACAUUUAGCAAUUAGCAAUUUAUAUCCUAAUCCUAUUUCCUCAAGCCAAAGUUAGAACAAACACUUACCUUGAAAGCUCCAAAAUCAUUUCAAGCCUAUAGUAUAGCUUUACCCCUUUAAUUCACCGGAAAACCGCUUGAAUCUGAACCAAUUCUCUUAAAUAUCCAAAUGGAGUCUAUGUGCAAGUACAAGAGAAGAAGAAUUGUGCACGAGAAACUUUUACUAGCCUGAAACUGUAGAAACAAAAUAGGUUGCCUUUCGGUAUGGAUGGAAAGCUUU